rnacentral:misc_RNA from 1 species
GAUGAAGAACGUAGCGAAAUGCGAUAAGUAAUGUGAAUUGCAGAAUUCCGUGAAUCAUCGAAUCUUUGAACGCGCAUUGCGCCCGCCAGUAUUCUGACGGGCAUGCCUGUUCGAGCGUCAUUUCAACCAUCAAGCCCCCGGCUUGUGUUGGGGACCUGCGGCUGCCGCAGGCCCUGAAAUCCAGUGGCGGGCUCGCCGUAGCACCGAGCGUAGUAGCACACUUCUCGCUCCGGUAGCAGCGGCGGGCGCUUGCCGUAAAACCCCCCCUAAAAUCUCAAGGUUGACCUCGGAUCAGGUAGGAAUACCCGCUGAACUUAAGCAUAUCAAUAAGCGGAGGA